rnacentral:rRNA from 1 species
AGAACGAACGCUGGCGGCAGGCUUAACACAUGCAAGUCGAGCGCCUCGCAAGAGGAGCGGCAGACGGGUGAGUAACGCGUGGGAAUCUACCUAGUUCUACGGAACAACACAGGGAAACUUGUGCUAAUACCGUAUACGCCCUACGGGGGAAAGAUUUAUCGGAAUUAGAUGAGCCCGCGUAAGAUUAGCUAGUUGGUGGGUAAUGGCCUACAAGGCGACGAUCUUUAGCUGGUCUGAGAGGAUGAUCAGCCACACUGGGACUGAGACACGGCCCAGACUCCUACGGGG